rnacentral:rRNA from 1 species
GAUCCUGGCUCAGGAUGAACGCUAGCGACAGGCUUAACACAUGCAAGUCGAGGGGCAGCGGGGAGUAGCAAUACUUCGCCGGCGACCGGCGCACGGGUGAGUAACACGUGUGCAACCAACCCCGUACCGGGAGAUAACCCGCGGAAACGUGGAUUAACACCCCAUAGUACUUUUAUCCUGCAUGGGAUGUGAGUUAAAUGUUCAAGGUAUCGGAUGGGCAUGCGUCCUAUUAGUUAGUUGGCGGGGUAACAG